AUCCCUUGACAUCCUGCGAACUUUCUAGAGAUAGAUUGGUGCCUUCGGGAACGCAGUGACAGGUGCUGCAUGGCUGUCGUCAGCUCGUGUCGUGAGAUGUUGGGUUAAGUCCCGCAACGAGCGCAACCCUUAUCAUUAGUUGCUAACAUUUAGUUGAGAACUCUAAUGAGACUGCCGGUGAUAAACCGGAGGAAGGCGGGGACGACGUCAAGUCAUCAUGGCCCUUAUGGGAUGGGCUACACACGUGCUACAAUGGGGGGUACAAAGAGCAGCCAACUGGCGACAGUGCGCGAAUCUCAUAAAACCUCUCGUAGUCCGGAUCGGAGUCUGCAACUCGACUCCGUGAAGUCGGAAUCGCUAGUAAUGGCACAUCAGCAACGGUGCCGUGAAUACGUUCCCGGGUCU
rnacentral:rRNA from 1 species